rnacentral:rRNA from 1 species
UACUGGUAGUUGUGUAUACUCGAACGAAAUUGGCCUCUAUGAUCACCUAGUUUCCGAAGCAGCCGAGUUUAUUUGGUAGUAGUGCGACCAUGACUAUAAGGAGUUCAACGACUCUUAUACUUUGUUGUUUGAGAAAAACUGUUUGAUGGCCUCCUGUAGAAUGUAGCAUAUGUAAGAGAGAAUGGUUAUGUUCUGCGACGAACACGACGGACACACAGAGUACGUAAAGACGCAAGUACCUCUACGAUAAGGUUUGAGUAUGAGUUGCUGACACGCGAACCCAACUUAGUGUAUCUUAAACUCCUUUCUUUUUAGAUAGAGUAACUGUUUCAACUGUUUUAAGAAUUUUUGGUAGUACUGUUUCCCCACUUCCACCUCUGUGAAUUGGAAUAAGAAUGGGGAACGUGGUUAUAGUUUCGGAGGAUGGACCUGUCCACCGAGGCUUCUUGGCAAUUCAGACCCAAAUUUCUAGAAAUGAACCUCUACGGAAAUAGGUACUUCUUUUAAAUGUUUAAGGGCACAAGUCAAAACAGACUACUCCCUCGACGUUCAAGUUAAGUCAAAGAAUUUUAGCCGAGAACGUGAAAAGUAGGGUGUAGUUGUGAACCGAGGAACCGUUCCAACUUUUGACAUUCUAACAGAAAACAGGUGUGAUGGCUCCUUCCUAACCUCGUGAACAAAAGUUUUAGAAGAUGGGAUCUCCUCGAGUCUUAUAAGCGUACGGUACCCUAUUAAACGAACUUUUAUGGAACAUGCUACGUCGUAGAGUUCUAUGAACUACAAGUUGAAACGUUGUACGACGCCCAACAUCUCUAACUACGAGGUUUGGAGACGAUAAAAUUGAUACUGUCGCGAAACGGUCUUUAGAUGCACUCUUUAACAAGAGUUGAAUUCGUACAUGUCAAUAGUAGACGUGCGAGCAGACCACAAGAAAAAAUACGAGCGUGAUCAGAAGGCAGGUAGCGUGCCUUACAACUCUCAGAAUAAAACCAACCAGCAUCGCUCUUACGGUUGUGAGGCAACGAUGUUAGGUUCGAUGGGGUGGAGUUCUUGAACCUUUAAUCUGAGUCUCGUCAGGAGGGGUUUCCGAGGGGAGGUUCGAUACUGAAGAAAAGAAACCAAAGAAAAGAACUACGAAGAGGACGGAACCUCAGAAAGUGGGAUGUGCAUUUACUCAUACAGUACUUUGUGAUAGGACAACAACCUCUAUUAAUGCUUACGGGCUCCGUCUUCGACCUGAACAGCGUAUUGGCGGAGUCUGUGUACUGCUAGUGCCCUAAGACAAGUCGGUUCUCGGACCAACUCGAGUGCCAAGUGUAGGAACUCUCGUGUGUGAGCGAACUCGCGAACUGCGACCUGUGUUGGAUACUGAUGUUAUCCACAUAAGUUCCCGGACCAUGGUAACCGUUUACGUGAUGGAGUUCAUCCUAACGGUUUACGACCGGCUACUCGUUCUCUCCACAACUGCUUCGAGUAUCUCGACACUUCUGACAACCAUCUAUGUAUCGACCCUCUCAAGGUAACCGACAAGUUAAACUCGAGUACCCCGGGACAUCAGCUACGGCCAUGGUAUGGCCGUCGGCCAUCUAGAUAGAUACAGUCCCACCAAAUAGAAACAGAUCUGAGGGUCCCUUAAGGCGGUUAUAGCGUACAAAUUAGAGCCACGGGUAUUUAUCUAGAAAAAAUACGUAGAGUUGAUAUCGUGUGUACUUUGGCAUAUAAAAUAUUUCAGUCAAAUACAUAAAUUCCAUGUAUAAAUGUAAAGACGUCAGAUCAAAUCAACAUACCAAAAACAUAUAGAACUUCCACGACUACACGAUUUGCUACCAUAACGAUCACCUACCCCCCGCUCGGAGGAAAAAGUCAACGGAAGAAGUCGACCUAUCGUGUACACGUAUGUUCAGAACUACUAGAUGGCGUGCCGGGUCUUGCUCUUCUUCGUGCGAGCGGUACAGGCGGUACGCGAAGUAGUGGCAACGUGGCAGCGGCUAGUGAGCGGUGUAGGAACGGUCGGAUAUGCAUGUUGUGUCGUUGCUCUCUUGUAAAUAGUCUGUGGACCCCUAGCUAACUCGUGCGAUAUUAUUUAUGUGCACUACCUUGUAGUUUGAAGCUAACGAAAUACGAAGUUUCCUAUAAUCUUUCCUCUACCUGAGGCGGACGUCGAGGACGCGGGGCCUCCCGCUGAGCGGCGGCCGCAGGAACCACGGCCUCGCGGAGGGGUACCAUCGGGGAAGGAGCCUACGCGCGCUGCACCGGCGGCCGGCCGGCUAGCACGCGGUCCUCGGAGGCCGAGCAGACCGACACUGGACGCACCUCUCGCCCGACGGUGGAGCCGCACCAUCAAGUCCGUGAGAGAGCACCAGCGCGACCGAGGGGGCUGCUGCGGACCGUUUUUCCGGAGGAACCCGAGAGCCUGGCGAGCGGCGGCGGCGCGAGGCCGCACCCCACAGCGCCCUGCCAGGCUGGUUCCAACACGGGUCCAUAGCACCGCGAGGCGGCGAGGACGACGGCAGCGGACGUGCCGACCACGGGGCGGAACGGGAGUUCUUUUGACGCGUUCUUCGUUCCGUUAUCGUUGUAGAUGUUUAUUUUCCACUUUAAUGCUGUACAACAUGUUUGACUUGCUGAAUUUAAAGUCAGGUGUUCAUAACUCAUUUUGCUGAGCCGUUCGACGAUCUUUGUCUUUCUGUAUCAGGUUCGGGUCGUCAUGUGGAAUGAAUAUAUGAGGAAUGUUUUGUCUCUUUACCUCUUUUCUUCAAGAAGUACUCGUUUCAUGUCGUCCGCGACGACUCAUUCACCCAUCCUAGAGUUGCUCUUGAGAGUACAGACACAACGUCUUCUUUCUGUUUAGUUUUGUGAUUCCGUUUACGUCACAAGAGUCCGGCAGAGUCAACUGUUCUUACCUUCGUAUAUAGGAUUGAUUUAGGUUCUUUUCCUCUUGAACUUGGCAACUUGCGAGUUGUCUUUGUCCGUAAUUUACCUGUUACGGGAGUUAACACGGUAAGGACGACGUCAGUCUUUCGGUUUUCUCAUUGUCAAUUCUGCAACAUUGACAUUUGAUAUUUUCCGGUGGCAUAACGAACGAGUAGGUUUAGUAAAUGUAGUUUUUUAGUAUCCGUGGCUAAGUCCGAUCGUCGUCACGCUGUAAACACGUCAGUUUAAGUUUGUUUACACUGUGUAUCUCCCGGUAUUUGUUUUAAUUACUGGAUUUUCCACUUUAGAGUCUUGUAACGUGUUUGACUUACUGGAUUUUAAAAUAAGGUCAGAUCUCAUUUUGCUGUGACUUUCGACAAUAUUUAUAUUCUCUGCGUUACCUGUCAAUUUUAGUCCGUCUAAUUGGUCGUUCUUUGGAAUGUUGUAUUUUUUUACCCUUUUGUUCAAUUAGUAGUCAGUUAACGUCCUCGGUUGUGUCUUUGAACUACCAAGACCUGAGUUCACUUCACUGUUAUAUUAAGCCGUGUUCACCCAUGUUUAUGUUACACUCGAAGUACUGUUAUGUUAAGUCGUAUUCACCUAUAUUUAUUUUACUCUCGAAGGACAGCAACGUUUUCCUUUUGUUUAGUUUUGUGGUUCUGUUUACGUCACGAGAACUUAGUAAUACUAACCGUUCUUGCCUCUCUAUGUCGUAUUAUAAGAUUUAGGUCGUGUACAUCUUGAACCUUGUGAGUCGUAUUCGAUGUGACUUAGUUGUUAACGUUGUUUGGAGUGAACACCGUAGCGACGAUGGACAGUACGAGAAACCUUACAAACUAGAAGUUUAGAACGGAAACUGACUCCCGGUACGUUUACCAAAAAGAAGUGAACCGUUUUUGUAUACCUUAGUUAGUGGUAUAGUACAUAUGCUAUUCUAAAAAGGUACGGAAAUAGUUGUAACUACAGUUAACCAACUUGGUACGAAGAUAAAUCCUAGAGUAACUCAUUAAGAUAGUGGCUCGAGUUUGAACGAUUAGGGAACAAAUAGUAAUAUUUAUUUUGGAGUUUGAUAGGUAAAUGUAUAGCUUACUCGAACGAAUUAGAAGAUUUUUGUAUGAAUCUGUAUUAUUGAUUAGUAUAUCUAUUCUUCCGUCUAAUUUCGACGAUCAUCAAUCAUUUUUUCCCAAAUGGACAUCUAGUUUCGAGAACGUACUAGAUUUUCAGUUCUCGGAGAAAAUGAGUAAGAUACGAUGAAAAGUAUCAUAACCACGUCGUACACACCGAGCAAGAAUACAAGUUCCUAUAAAUUCGUAUAAAGGUUUUACAAAGUUUUAAUUCUCUCUGUCCGACUAUACCUCUACCUAUCGACUUCCAAAAUAUACAUUACGUUUGCUCUUUAACCGGGUUAAACUCGAUCCUCUCUCAAUGAAGUUACUCGAGUAUUUGUCUUCGUACUAGGUUGGUCACCCGUAGCUGCCACUUUCGUAUCGUUUUCGAAUAACACGUGUAUUAUGCUACUAACUAAUUAUUUUAUCGGAAGUGAAGUAGGGUAUGUUCCAUGGAUAAGUUCACUUUCAAAAACGCUACCAAUCGGCGUUCGUUUAGUCGUUCUUAUACUCGAUCACCAGAUAGAUCCGUUUUAUGUUCGUUUUGGAUUUUCUCUUUGUCGAAUAUAGUUGGUUGUGAGUUUGACAGGGGCGUUCUUUCUUCUCAUUUACUGGUUGCUAGUCGUGUGUAGUUGGUCGUGUUUUUUCUUGUCACCUACCAUGUCCGCUUAUUGUUAUAAGAAAGUAAAGAAAGCGUCGUAGUAGACAAGUUCAGGGGUUCUUCAACACCAAAAGUGGGGUGCGACCAUACUGAUCAUGUGUCAAGAAGUGUCUUUUUUGUGACGCAUCCUUCGAAAACCACCUACUCGAGUUCUACGUAGAUUAUGUCUAGGUGGAUCGAUCCUAACUAACGGAGUUCAUCUUGUGCCUUAUCCUUCGAAAACCACCUACAACAGUUCAUCGAACAUGCUGGUCUAAUCGUGACAUUUAGAUACUACCUACCCGUCGUUAAACGUCACUUCUUAAUUCUACGUGUGUGGCCGGCCGGUCCUUUUAUUUACCAACCGUGAGGACUAAAUGAACCCCUUUGAUCUAGGUGAGUACUAAAUUAGCCUAGAAUUUCGUCUGCGUACUAAGUGAACUUGCCUUCCUUUGUAUGCCACCUACCGGCUGUCAAACGUAAAGUCUAGGUGUAGCGGUACUAGAAUCGGUUUGUUUAGAUCGAGUUAGCCUAGAUCUUGUCUUCUUCUUUUUCUUCAUUGCGACUUCCUUUGGAUGCCGACUAGUUGGUUGUCUGAUGUGUCAUCUAGAUGAGCAGCCAUUUGAGUUUUUGAUUUGAUCAGCCUAGGUCCACUCCUUCUUGCUUUAUAUGGUGUGCAACAGGGCGAUCUAGGCCGCGGAGGGGGGAGUGGGACGCUCGUGCACGGAGAAGCCCGGCGACGUCCUUGAGUGGCCGCUUGUCCGGCGGCCACCAGCCGUUCUGCGUGUUCGGGGCCUCCUCAGGGGCGGCGUUCUACCUGAGGUGCCAAUGGGGAGAGAGACAGAGAGACAAAGAGUCGCUCAGAGCGUGAGAGGUGUGCGCCAUCUUUAUUCCCUUUGCGCCGACUCGUACA